CUGGGUUCCUGAUGGGAUGGCUCCGCCUAGAACAGAGCCCCUACACCAUCUUCAUCAUCACGCCAUUGGACUAUGUUGAUUCCAAUGCUUUUAGCCAACAAGGUUUAAUUAUCUCCAUAACCUUGCAAAAGUAAAGCACAGAGAAGCAUGACGUGGGGGUGAAACCACACUUUGCGAAGAGGUUAAUGCAGAGCAGAGGAAAAUGAAAUCCAUUUCCAACAGAGGAAACUCCAGAUCAGGGACCUCAUGUUCCUUUGCCACCACCACAGCCCCAGGGUCCAGCAGGUGCAGCACACUGAGAAGAGAUGCAUGUGCCUGUUACUCCGUCUGCUGUACGUCAGGUCCACAGAAGAACCAGCCCCACAGAAAGACAGAAAAAGAGCUAUUGGUGAGAACUUUGCAUAAAUAUGCCUCAACCUAUGUAUCUAUCUUCUCUAGCCACAUAAUCACAUCCUUUUAUUUCACCAGUAAAGGGAUGCCAA